UACGGGGGGGGCAAGCGUUGUUCGGAAUUACUGGGCGUAAAGGGCUCGUAGGCGGCCAACUAAGUCAGACGUGAAAUCCCUCGGCUUAACCGGGGAACUGCGUCUGAUACUGGAUGGCUUGAGGUUGGGAGAGGGAUGCGGAAUUCCAGGUGUAGCGGUGAAAUGCGUAGAGAUCGGGAAGAACAUCAGUGGCGAAGGCGGCCUGCUGGGCUGUUGCUGACGCUGAGGCGCGAAGGCGUGGGGAGCGAACGGG
rnacentral:rRNA from 1 species